rnacentral:rRNA from 1 species
ACGGAGGAUCCAAGCGUUAUCCGGAAUCAUUGGGUUUAAAGGGUCCGUAGGCGGUCUUAUAAGUCAGUGGUGAAAUCUCCCCGCUCAACGGGGAAACGGCCAUUGAUACUGUAGGACUUGAAUUAUUAGGAAGUAACUAGAAUAUGUAGUGUAGCGGUGAAAUGCUUAGAGAUUACAUGGAAUACCAAUUGCGAAGGCAGGUUACUACUAAUGGAUUGACGCUGAUGGACGAAAGCGUGGGUAGCGAACAGGAUUAGAUACCCUGGUAGUCCACGCCGUAAACGAUGGAUACUAGCUGUUGGGAGCAAUCUCAGUGGCUAAGCGAAAGUGAUAAGUAUCCCACCUGGGGAGUACGUUCGCAAGAAU